CCCCUCUCAGGAUGGCACCCGGAGAGUUUCCAGUCUUCUACCAGUCUCAGCUACGGGAGGGAGAGUAAAGCAGAGGCCUGUCCAUUCCAUUCCUAGCUCGGGCAGUAGCUAGAGAGUGGAAGACGAUCUGCUACAAGU
rnacentral:snoRNA from 1 species